GUGCCAACGGCAUAGCUGGGUAGCUAUGUGUGGACGGGAUAAGUGCUGAAAGCAUCUAAGCAUGAAGCCCCCCUCAAGAUGAGAUUUCCCAACUUCGGUUAUAAGAUCCCUCAAAGAUGAUGAGGUUAAUAGGUUCGAGGUGGAAGCAUGGUGACAUGUGGAGCUGACGAAUACUAAUCGAUCGAAGACUUAAUCAA
rnacentral:rRNA from 1 species